UGCAGCAACGCCGCGUGAGGGACGACGGCCCCCGGGUCGUAAACCUCUUUUAGCAGGGAAGAAGCGAAAGUGACGGUACCUGCAGAAAAAGCACCGGCUAACUACGUGCCAGCAGCCGCGGUAAUACGUAGGGUGCAAGCGUUAUCCGGAAUUAUUGGGCGUAAAGAGCUCGUAGGCGGUUUGUCGCGUCUGCUGUGAAAACCCGAGGCUCAACCUCGGGCCUGCAGUGGGUACGGGCAGACUAGAGUGCGGUAGGGGAGAUUGGAAUUCCUGGUGUAGCGGUGGAAUGCGCAGAUUUCAGGAGGAACACCGAUGGCGAAGGCAGAACUCUGGGCCGUAACUGACGCUUAGGAGCGAAAGGGUGGGGAGCAAACAGGCUUAGAUACCCUGGUAGUCCACCCCGUAAACGUUGGGAACUAGUUGUGGGGUCCAUUCCACGGAUUCCGUGACGCAUCUCACGCAUUAAGUUCCCCGCCUGGGGAGUACGGCCGCAAGGCUAAAACUCAAAGGAAUUGACGGGGACCCGCACAAGCGGCGGAGCAUGCGGAUUAAUUCGAUGCAACGCGAAUAACCUUACCAAGGCUUGACAUAUACUAGAACGCUGCAGAAAUGUAGAACUCUUUG
rnacentral:rRNA from 1 species